UACAGAGGGUGCAAGCGUUAAUCGGAUUUACUGGGCGUAAAGGGUGCGUAGGUUGUUAUUUAAGUUUGAUGUGAAAUCCCUGGGCUUAACCUAGGAACUGCAUUGAAUACUGGAUGACUAGAGUACUGUAGAGGGUAGUGGAACUUCCGGUGUAGCGGUGAAAUGCGCAGAUAUCAGGAGGAACACCAAUUGCGAAGGCAGCUCGCUGGGACGUUACUGACGCUGAGACGCGAAAGCGUGGGGAGCAAACAGG
rnacentral:rRNA from 1 species